rnacentral:rRNA from 1 species
GACGAACGCUGGCGGCGUGCUUAACACAUGCAAGUCGAACGAAGAGCGACGGAAGCUUGCUUCUAUCAAUCUUAGUGGCGAACGGGUGAGUAACGCGUAAUCAACCUGCCCUUCAGAGGGGGACAACAGUUGGAAACGACUGCUAAUACCGCAUACGAUCUAAUCUCGGCAUCGAGGAUGGAUGAAAGGUGGCCUCUACAUGUAAGCUAUCACUGAAGGAGGGGAUUGCGUCUGAUUAGCUAGUUGGAGGGGUAACGGCCCACCAAGGCGAUGAUCAGUAGCCGGUCUGAGAGGAUGAACGGCCACAUUGGGACUGAGACACGGCCCAGACUCCUACGGGAGGCAGCAGUGGGGAAUCUUCCGCAAUGGACGAAAGUCUGACGGAGCAACGCCGCGGGAGUGAUGACGGCCUUCGGGUUGUAAAGCUCUGUUAAUCGGGACGAAAGGCCUUCUUGCGAAUAGGGAGAAGGAUUGACGGUACCGGAAUAGAAAGCCACGGCUAACUACGUG